AGGACGAACGCUGGCGGCGUGCUUAACACAUGCAAGUCGAGCGGAAAGGCCCUUCGGGGUACUCGAGCGGCGAACGGGUGAGUAACACGUGAGUAAUCUGCCCUUGACUCUGGGAUAGCUCCGGGAAACCGGGAUUAAUACCGGAUAUGACUGCCUUAGACAUCUUUGGUGGUGGAAAGUUUUUCGGUCAGGGAUGAGCUCGCGGCCUAUCAGCUUGUUGGUGGGGUAAUGGCCUACCAAGGCGACGACGGGUAGCCGGCCUGAGAGGGCGACCGGCCACACUGGGACUGAGACACGGCCCAGACUCCUACGGGAGGCAGCAGUGGGGAAUAUUGCGCAAUGGGGGAAACCCUGACGCAGCGACGCCGCGUGCGGGAUGAAGGCCUUCGGGUUGUAAACCGCUUUCAGCAGGGACGAAGCGAGAGUGACGGUACCUGCAGAAGAGCGCGGCUAACACGCGCCAGCAGCCGC
rnacentral:rRNA from 1 species